GGUUAAGCGACUAAGCGUACACGGUGGAUGCCCUGGCAGUCAGAGGCGAUGAAGGACGUGCUAAUCUGCGAUAAGCGUCGGUAAGGUGAUAUGAACCGUUAUAACCGGCGAUUUCCGAAUGGGGAAACCCAGUGUGAUUCGUCACACUAUCAUUAACUGAAUCCAUAGGUUAAUGAGGCGAACCGGGGAACUGAAACAUCUAAGUACCCCGAGGAAAAGAAAUCAACCGAGAUUCCCCAGUAGCGGCGAGCGAACGGGGAGGAGCCCAGAGCCUGAAUCAGUGUGUGUGUUAGUGGAAGCGUCUGGAAAGGCGCGCGAUACAGGGUGACAGCCCCGUACACAAAAAUGCACAUGCUGUGAGCUCGAUGAGUAGGGCGGGACACGUGGUAUCCUGUCUGAAUAUGGGGGACCAUCCUCCAAGGCUAAAUACUCCUGACUGACCGAUAGUGAACCAGUACCGUGAGGGAAAGGCGAAAAGAACCCCGGCGAGGGGAGUGAAAAAGAACCUGAAACCGUGUACGUACAAGCAGUGGGAGCCUCUUUAUGGGGUGACUGCGUACCUUUGUAUAAUGGGUCAGCGACUUAUAUUCUGUAGCAAGGUUAACCGAAUAGGGAGCCGAAGGAAACCGAGUCUUAACUGGGCGUUAAGUUGCAGGGUAUAGACCCGAAACCCGGUGAUCUAGCCAUGGGCAGGUUGAAGGUUGGGUAACACUAACUGGAGGACCGAACCGACUAAUGUUGAAAAAUUAGCGGAUGACUUGUGGCUGGGGGUGAAAGGCCAAUCAAACCGGGAGAUAGCUGGUUCUCCCCGAAAGCUAUUUAGGUAGCGCCUCGUGAAUUCAUCUCCGGGGGUAGAGCACUGUUUCGGCAAGGGGUCAUCCCGACUUACCAACCCGAUGCAAACUGCGAAUACCGGAGAAUGUUAUCACGGGAGACACACGGCGGGUGCUAACGUCCGUCGUGAAGAGGGAAACAACCCAGACCGCCAGCUAAGGUCCCAAAGUCAUGGUUAAGUGGGAAACGAUGUGGGAAGGCCCAGACAGCCAGGAUGUUGGCUUAGAAGCAGCCAUCAUUUAAAGAAAGCGUAAUAGCUCACUGGUCGAGUCGGCCUGCGCGGAAGAUGUAACGGGGCUAAACCAUGCACCGAAGCUGCGGCAGCGACACUAUGUGUUGUUGGGUAGGGGAGCGUUCUGUAAGCCUGCGAAGGUGUACUGUGAGGUAUGCUGGAGGUAUCAGAAGUGCGAAUGCUGACAUAAGUAACGAUAAAGCGGGUGAAAAGCCCGCUCGCCGGAAGACCAAGGGUUCCUGUCCAACGUUAAUCGGGGCAGGGUGAGUCGACCCCUAAGGCGAGGCCGAAAGGCGUAGUCGAUGGGAAACAGGUUAAUAUUCCUGUACUUGGUGUUACUGCGAAGGGGACGGAGAAGGCUAUGUUGGUACGGGCGACGGUUGUCCCGGUUUAAGCGUGUGAGGCUGGUUUUCCAGGCAAAUCCGGAAAAUCAAGGCUGAGGCGUGAUGACGAGGCACUACGGUGCUGAAGCAACAAAUGCCCUGCUUCCGGAAAAGCCUCUAAGCAUCAGGUAACAUCAAAUCGUACCCCAAACCGACACAGGUGGUCAGGUAGAGAAUACCAAGGCGCUUGAGAGAACUCGGGUGAAGGAACUAGGCAAAAUGGUGCCGUAACUUCGGGAGAAGGCACGCUGAUAUGUAGGUGAAGUCCCUCGCGGAUGGAGCUGAAAUCAGUCGAAGAUACCAGCUGGCUGCAACUGUUUAUUAAAAACACAGCACUGUGCAAACACGAAAGUGGACGUAUACGGUGUGACGCCUGCCCGGUGCCGGAAGGUUAAUUGAUGGGGUUAGCGGUAACGCGAAGCUCUUGAUCGAAGCCCCGGUAAACGGCGGUACGUAACUAUAACGGUCCUAAGGUAGCGAAAUUCCUUGUCGGGUAAGUUCCGACCUGCACGAAUGGCGUAAUGAUGGCAGGCUGUCUCCACCCGAGACUCAGUGAAAUUGAACUCGCUGUGAAGAUGCAGUGUACCCGCGGCAAGACGGAAAGACCCCGUGAACCUUUACUAUAGCUUGACACUGAACAUUGAGCCUUGAUGUGCAGGAUAGGUGGGAGGCUUUGAAGUGUGGACGCCAGUCUGCAUGGAGCCGACCUUGAAAUACCACCCUUUAAUGUUUGAUGUUCUAACGUUGGCCCCUGAUCGGGGUUGCGGACAGUGUCUGGUGGGUAGUUUGACUGGGGCGGUCUCCUCCUAAAGAGUAACGGAGGAGCACGAAGGUUGGCUAAUCCUGGUCGGACAUCAGGAGGUUAGUGCAAUGGCAUAAGCCAGCUUGACUGCGAGCGUGACGGCGCGAGCAGGUGCGAAAGCAGGUCAUAGUGAUCCGGUGGUUCUGAAUGGAAGGGCCAUCGCUCAACGGAUAAAAGGUACUCCGGGGAUAACAGGCUGAUACCGCCCAAGAGUUCAUAUCGACGGCGGUGUUUGGCGACCUCGAUGUCGGCUCAUCACAUCCUGGGGCUGAAGUAGGUCCCAAGGGUAUGGCUGUUCGCCAUUUAAAGUGGUACGCGAGCUGGGUUUAGAACGUCGUGAGACAGUUCGGUCCCUAUCUGCCGUGGGCGCUGGAGAACUGAGGGGGCUGCUCCUAGUACGAGAGGACCGGAGUGGACGCAUCACUGGUGUUCGGGUUGUCAUGCCAAUGGCACUGCCCGGUAGCUAAAUGCGGAAGAGAUAAGUGCUGAAAGCAUCUAAGCACGAAACUUGCCCCGAGAUGAGUUCUCCUGACUCCUGAGAGUCCUGAAGGAACGUUGAAGACGACGACGUUGAUAGGCCGGGUGUGUAAGCGCAGCGAUGCGUUGAGCUAACCGGUACUAAUGAACCGUGAGGCUUAACCUU
rnacentral:rRNA from 1 species